rnacentral:rRNA from 1 species
UACGUAGGGUGCAAGCGUUAAUCGGAAUUACUGGGCGUAAAGCGUGCGCAGGCGGUUUUGUAAGUCUGACGUGAAAUCCCCGGGCUCAACCUGGGAAUUGCGUUGGAGACUGCAAGGCUGGAGUCUGGCAGAGGGGGGUAGAAUUCCACGUGUAGCAGUGAAAUGCGUAGAGAUGUGGAGGAACACCGAUGGCGAAGGCAGCCCCCUGGGUCAAGACUGACGCUGACAUGCACGAAAGCGUGGGGAGCAAACGAAGGAUUA